rnacentral:rRNA from 1 species
GACAGAGGGUGCAAACGUUGCUCGGAAUUACUGGGCGUAAAGCGUGCGCAGGCGGCUUCUCAAGUCAGGGGUGAAAGCCCAGAGCUCAACUCUGGAAUUGCCUUUGAGACUGAGUGGCUUGAGUACGGGAGAGGUGAGUGGAAUUCCCAGUGUAGAGGUGAAAUUCGUAGAUAUUGGGAAGAACACCGGUGGCGAAGGCGGCUCACUGGCUCGUAACUGACGCUCAUGCACGACAGCGUGGGGAUCAAACAGG